rnacentral:rRNA from 1 species
CCUACGAGUGGCAGCAGUGGGGAAUAUUGGGCAAUGGGCGCAAGCCUGACCCAGCAACGCCGCGUGCAGGAAGAAGGCUUUCGGGUUGUAAACUUCUUUUAAGAGGGAAGAGCAGAAGACGGUACCUCCUGAAUAAGCCACGGCUAACUACGUGCCAGCAGGCGCUGAAAUACGGAGGUGGCAAGCGUUGUCCGGUGUUACUGGGUGUAAAGGGCGUGCAGCCGGGAAGACAAGUCAGAUGUGAAAUCCCGGGGCUCAACCGCGGAACUGCAUUUGAAACUGUUUUUCUUGAGUACAGGAGAGGUCAUCGGAAUUCCUGGUGUAGCGGUGAAAUGCGUAGAUAUAAGGAAGAACACCAGUGGCGAAGGCGGAUGACUGGACGGCAACUGACGGUGAGGCGCGAAAGCGUGGGGAGCAAACAGGAUUAGAUACCCCAGUAGUC